GACGAACGCUGGCGGCGUGCUUAACACAUGCAAGUCGAACGGAAAGGCCCUGCUUUUGUGGGGUGCUCGAGUGGCGAACGGGUGAGUAACACGUGAGUAACCUGCCCUUGACUUUGGGAUAACUUCCGGAAACUGGGGCUAAUACCGGAUAGGAGCUCCUGCUGCAUGGUGGGGGUUGGAAAGUUUCGGCGGUUGGGGCUGGACUCGCGGCUUAUCAGCUUGUUGGUGGGGUAGUGGCUUACCAAGGCUUUGACGGGUAGCCGGCCUGAGAGGGUGACCGGCCUCAUUGGGACUGCGAUACGGCCCAGACUCCUACGGGAGGCAGCAGUGGGGAAUAUUGCACAAUGGGCGGAAGCCUGAUGCAGCGACGCCGCGUGCGGGAUGACGGCCUUCGGGUUGUAAACCGCUGUCGCCUGUGACGAAGCGUGAGUGACGGUAAUGGGUAAAGAAGCACCGGCUAACUACGUG
rnacentral:rRNA from 1 species